rnacentral:rRNA from 1 species
GUAGGUGGCAAGCGUUGUCCGGGAAUUAUUGGGGCGUAAAGCGCGCGCAGGCGGUUCUUUAAGUCUGAUGUGAAAGCCCACGGGCUCAACCGUGGAGGGUCAUUGGAAACUGGAGAACUUGAGUACAGAAGAGGAAAGCGGAACUCCACGUGUAGCGGUGAAAUGCGUAGAGAUGUGGAGGAACACCAGUGGCGAAGGCGGCUUUCUGGUCUGUAACUGACGCUGAGGCGCGAAAGCGUGGGGAGCAAACAGGAUUAGAUACCCUGGUAGUCCACGCCGUAAACGAUGAGUGCUAAGUGUUAGGGGGUUUCCGCCCCUUAGUGCUGCAGCUAACGCAUUAAGCACUCCGCCUGGGGAGUACGGCCGCAAAGGCUGA